rnacentral:rRNA from 1 species
UCCAGACUCCUACGGGAGGCAGCAGUCGAGAAUCAUUCACAAUGGGGGAAACCCUGAUGGUGCGACGCCGCGUGGGGGAAUGAAGGUCUUCGGAUUGUAAACCCCUGUCAUGUGGGAGCAAAUUAAAAAGAUAGUACCACAAGAGGAAGAGACGGCUAACUCCGUGCCAGCAGCCGCGGUAAUACGGAGGAUGCGAGCGUUAUCCGGAUUUAUUGGGUUUAAAGGGUGCGUAGGCGGGCAUUUAAGCCGGCGGUCAAAUGUCGGGGCUCAACCCCGGCCUGCCGUCGGAACUGGGUGCCUCGAGUGGGCGAGAAGUAUGCGGAAUGCGCGGUGUAGCGGUGAAAUGCAUAGAUAUCGCGCAGAACUCCGAUUGCGAAGGCAGCAUGCCGGCUCCACACUGACGCUGAGGCACGAAAGCGUGGGUAUCGAACAGGAUUAGAUACCCGCGUAC